rnacentral:rRNA from 1 species
GAUCCUGGCUCAGGACGAACGCUGGCGGCGUGCUUAACACAUGCAAGUCGAACGGAGCUAUCUCACCGAAACGGAUUUAAGCUUGCUUAUUGAAGGAUCACCGAGAUAACUUAGUGGCGGACGGGUGAGUAACGCGUGAGGAACCUGCCUUUCAGAGGGGGACAACAGUUGGAAACGACUGCUAAUACCGCAUGACACAUCGAAGCGGCAUCGCUUUGAUGUCAAAGAUUUACCGCUGAAAG